rnacentral:rRNA from 1 species
GACGAACCGUACAAACGUUAUUCGGAAUUACUGGGCGUAAAGGGCGCGUAGGCGGCCUGCUAAGUCACACGUGAAAUCCCUCGGCUCAACCGGGGAACUGCGUGUGAUACUGGCGGGCUUGAAUUCGGGAGAGGGAUGUGGAAUUCCAGGUGUAGCGGUGAAAUGCGUAGAUAUCGGAAGGAACAUCAGUGGCGAAAGCGACUUCCUGGACCAGUACCGACGUUCAGGCACGAAAGCGUGGGGAGCAAACAGG